rnacentral:pre_miRNA from 1 species
UCUUCCUGAUGGUAUUCUACCACUGAAAUUAUUGUUCGAAAUGACACCUGCAGCUCAUCGAGGUAUACCGCCGUGGUAUGGUAUCCUUCAAUGCAUCACCAAUCUAACCUAGUAGCAGGGCUGCAACACAUGGUAUGAUUUUGGAUCCAUUGAGGAAUAAUAACCAAGUUGCAUGGGUGGGUUUAUCCAACAAUAAUUUCAGUGGAAGACUACCGUCGAUCUGGAAGA